rnacentral:rRNA from 1 species
AUUGAACGCUGGCGGCAGGCUUAACACAUGCAAGUCGAGCGAGCGGCGGACGGGUGAGUAAUGUCUGGGAAACUGCCUGAUGGAGGGGGAUAACUACUGGAAACGGUAGCUAAUACCGCAUACCAUCAGAUGUGCCCAGAUGGGAUUAGCUAGUAGGUGGGGUAAUGGCUCACCAAGGCGACGAUCCCUAGCUGGUCUGAGAGGAUGACCAGCCAAUCUGGAACUGAGACACGGGCCAGACUCCUACGUGAGACAGCAGUGGGAGAUAUUGCACAAUGGGCCGAAGCCUGAUGCAGCCAUGCCGCGUGUGAGAAGAAGGCCUUCGGGUUGUAAAGCACUUUCAGCGAGGAGGCGUUACUCGCAGAAGAAGCACCGGCUAACUCCGUGCCAGCAGCCGCGGUAAUUC